rnacentral:rRNA from 1 species
GGGGGGGGAGGUUGGAUUUGAGGAGAGCAGCGCACUCUCCCCUCCGUGUUUCGACACGGGAUCGUUAGAGCCAAUACACCAACAGGCUGAAUUUGCGGCCGCGAUUCGCCCUUACCCGCUGCACUUAAGCAUAUCAAUAAGCGGAGGACAAGAACUAACAAGGAUUCCCCUAGUAACGGCGAGUGAAGAGGGAAGAGCUCAAAUUUUAAAUCUGGCGUCUUUGGCGUCCGAAUUGUAAUCUAGAGAAGUGUUUUCCGUGACGGACCGUGCACAAGUCUCCUGGAAUGGAGCGUCAUAGAGGGUGAGAAUCCCGUAUAUGGCACGGACUGCCGUUGCUCUGUGAUACACUCUCGACGAGUCGANGUGUUUGGGAAUGCAGCUCUAAAUGGGUGGUAAAUGCCAUCUAAAAGCUAAUAUUGGCGAGAGACCGAUAGCGAAACAGUACCCGUGAGGGAAAGAUGAAAAGCACUUUGGAAAGAGAGUGAAACAGUACGUGAAAUGUUGAAAGGAACGNNCUUGAAGUCAGUCGCGCGUUUCGGGAUUCAGCCUUGCUUCUGCUCGGUUCACUUCCCGUUGGGUGGGUCAACAUCAGUUUUGGUCAGAGGAGAAAGGCUUGGGGAAGGUGGCAGCAUUCGUGCUGUGUUAUAGCCCCUCGUUGUAUACUUUGACUGGGACUGAGGACCGCAGCACGCCUUUGGCCGGGGUUCGCCCACGUACGUGCUUAGGAUGUUGGCAUAAUGGCUUUAAGCGACCCGUCUUGAAACACGG